rnacentral:rRNA from 1 species
UACGUAGGGUGCAAGCGUUGUCCGGAAUUAUUGGGCGUAAAGAGCUCGUAGGCGGUCUGUCGCGUCUGCUGUGAAAAUCCGAGGCUCAACCUCGGACUUGCAGUGGGUACGGGCAGACUAGAGUGUGGUAGGGGGAGACUGGAAUUCCUGGUGUAGCGGUGGAAUGCGCAGAUAUCAGGAGGAACACCGAUGGCGAAGGCAGGUCUCUGGGCCAUUACUGACACUGAGAAGCGAAAGCAUGGGGAGCGAACAGG